rnacentral:rRNA from 1 species
CCUACGGGCGGCAGCAGUGAGGAAUAUUGGUCAAUGGUCGGGAGACUGAACCAGCCAAGCCGCGUGAGGGAGGAAGGUACAGAGUAUCGUAAACCUCUUUUGUCAGGGAACAAAGACUGGGACGCGUCCCCGGAUGAGUGUACCUGAAGAAACAGCAUCGGCUAAAUCCGUGCCAGCGGCCGCGGUAAUACGGAGGAUGCGAGCGUUAUCCGGAUUUGUUGGGUUUAAAGGGUGCGCAGGCGGUCUGUUAAGUCAGCGGUCAAAGCACGGGGCUCAACCCCGGCCCGCCGUUGAAACUGGCAGUCUCGAGUUGGAGAGAAGUAUGCGGAAUGCGCGGUGUAGCGGUGAAAUGCAUAGAUAUCGCGCAGAACUCCGAUUGCGAAGGCAGCAUGCCGGCUCCACACUGACGCUGAGGCACGAAAGCGUGGGUAUCGAACAGGAUUAGAUACCCCAGUAGUC